rnacentral:rRNA from 1 species
UACGGAGGAUCCAAGCGUUAUCCGGAAUCAUUGGGUUUAAAGGGUCCGUAGGUGGUUUUAUAAGUCAGUGGUGAAAGUUUGCGGCUCAACCGUAAAAUUGCCAUUGAUACUGUAGGACUUGAAUUAUUGUGAAGUGGUUAGAAUAAGUAGUGUAGCGGUGAAAUGCAUAGAUAUUACUUAGAAUACCGAUUGCGAAGGCAGAUCACUAACAAUGUAUUGACACUGAGGGACGAAAGCGUGGGUAGCGAACAGG